AGUGAACGCUGGCGGUAGGCCUAACACAUGCAAGUCGAACGGCAGCACAGUAAGAGCUUGCUCUUACGGGUGGCGAGUGGCGGACGGGUGAGGAAUACAUCGGAAUCUACUUUUUCGUGGGGGAUAACGUAGGGAAACUUACGCUAAUACCGCAUACGACCUACGGGUGAAAGCAGGGGAUCUUCGGCCCUUGCGCGAUUGAAUGAGCCGAUGUCGGAUUAGCUAGUUGGCGGGGUAAAGGCCCACCAAGGCGACGAUCCGUAGCUGGUCUGAGAGGAUGAUCAGCCACACUGGAACUGAGACACGGUCCAGACUCCUACGGGAGGCAGCAGUGGGGAAUAUUGGACAAUGGGCGCAAGCCUGAUCCAGCCAUACCGCGUGGGUGAAGAAGGCCUUCGGGUUGUAAAGCCCUUUUGUUGGGAAAGAAAAGCAGCAGGUUAAUACCCCGCUGUUCUGACGGUACCAAAAGAAUAAGCACCGGCUAACUUCGU
rnacentral:rRNA from 1 species